GACAGGUGAUGCAAGUGUUAUCCGGAAUGAUUGGGCGUAAAGCGUCUGUAGGUGGUUUAUCCAGUCUGUUGUUAAAACUUAGGGCUUAACCCUAAUCCGGCAACAGAAACUAAUAGACUAGAGUACGGUAGGGGCAGAGGGAAUUCUCGGUGUAGUGGUGAAAUACGUAGAUAUCGAGAAGAACACCAAUAGCGAAAGCACUCUGCUGGGCCGAAACUGACAUUCAGAGACGAAAGCUAGGGGAGCGAAAAGG
rnacentral:rRNA from 1 species